UAAGCCGAAGCCAAUUUGGGCACCUAACUGUUAACUAGGCCACUGCUAUUUAUUAGCCUGCUUAG
rnacentral:tRNA from 1 species